rnacentral:rRNA from 1 species
AAAAACACCUCUAACCCUUUACCACUAUUAAGUAAUUUUAUACCAAUAUAAAAGCCUUCAUGCUAAAACUAGUAACAAGAAAUUGACUUUCUCCUAAAUAUAAACAUAAACCAAAAUGGACUAACCAUCGGUAAUUAACGUUUAUUAGCCCACUAUAACAACACACCAAGAAAACCUUAUAAACACACACGUUAAUCUUACACAAGAAUAUUUCAGGAAAGAUUAAAAAAAAAGGAAGGAACUCGGCAAACUUCAACCCCGCCUGUUUACCAAAAACAUCGCCUCUUGAUUAAAUAUAAGAGGUCCAGCCUGCCCAAUGAUUCUUUCAAUGGCCGCGGUAUCCUAACCGUGCAAAGGUAGCAUAAUCAUUUGUUCUCUAAAUAAGGACUUGUAUCAACGGCAUCACGAGGGUUACACUGUCUCCCUUUUUUAAUCAAUGAAACUGACCUCCCCGUGAAGAGGCGGGGAUUUUAUUACAAGACGAGAAGACCCCAUGGAGCUUUAAACCCAAUUAUAAUCUUUACCUUAAACAGCCCAUAAAACUAUAAAGACCUUAUUUAUUGGUUUUAGGUUGGGGUGACCACGGAGUAAAACAAAACCUCCUUGACGAACAGGUCUUAACCUAAUCCAAGAGUUACCGCUCUAAGAAUCAAAAAAUUUGACGUAAAAUGAUCCGGCAACCGAUCAACGAACCAAGUUACCCUGGGGAUAACAGCGCAAUCCAUUUCAAGAGCCCCUAUCGACAAAUGGGUUUACGACCUCGAUGUUGGAUCAGGGUAUCCCAGUGGUGCAGCCGCUACUAAAGGUUUGUUUGUUCAACAAUUAAUACC